CUUUAUUUAACCGCAUUUCGCAUGAAGUAUGACGGUUUACCACGACGAAGUGGAAAUUGAGGACUUCGAAUACGACGAGGACGAAGAAAUCUAUUACUACCCUUGUCCGUGCGGUGAUCAGUUUCAAAUUUCAAAGACCGACCUUACAGCUGGCGAGGACGAAGCUACAUGCCCUUCCUGCUCUUUGGUCGUUAAAGUCAUCUAUGACAAAGAGACAUUUGCUGCAAAACAGGAAGAAUUAGUUAAAGCAGACGAGAAGGAACUUCCUAUGGAGAAAGCUUGAGAUAAUAUCCCACAAGCUAAUUUACUAAAAUGGCAGGACGUGGUAGGGGAAGAGGUAAGGCCUCUAUGUCUAUCAAUGUUGAGCAAUUGGGUUUUAGCAAGGGUGAAGCUCUUCCACCACCUGUUUUACAACCACCACCAAAGUAUCCUCCAUUGGACUACAAACCUAUUUCCUUUACACUUACUAAUGAAACAAAUUACCUCCUUGAACUUAAAAGGGACUUUGCAGAGUUCACUCGUGAGUCUUCUUAUAAUGUUCAACCAAUUGUCAUUAAGAAAGAUAUAGAAAGAUACUCUGAUAAAUAUCAGGAUAUGAUAACUGAUAAAACAAGCUACGAAGCACAUUACGACUGGACUAGGAUGCCAGCAGAGUUAAAACCUGCUAUUAAGAAACGCAAAGUUGACAAUAUUAAGAAAGUUGUAAAGAAAAAGAAAGAUAUAGACAUUGAAACUAAACUCAAGGAAUUGGAGACAAAGGAGGAUACUCAGCAAAGUGAUACUGAAGAAGAUGGGAAGGAGGAAGGCAAGAAUGAAGAAAAGGAAGUUGACGAACAUGUAGAGGAUGAGGAGGAAGAAGCUGAUGAAGAGAUGGAUGAUGGAACUGACUAUUAUAAUAACUAUUUUGAUAACGGGGAAGGCUAUGAUGACGAAGAUGACAACCUGGAUGAUGGUCCAAUUUAUUGAGUUUUGUCUUAUGAAGCUUGAUUGGUUUUAACUCUCGCAGAGUCUAGUACUACUUCAUUAUAUUCCUCACAGGCAUUACAAAAUCACUUAAGAAAUUUAGAGAAGGACGAGUGUAACGAUCGUCAUUGCGCAGAUGCAGAAAGUAUUUUAGGCAGAGUAUCUGUGCACCCGCAGACUGCAGUUUACGUGAACAACGUCGAUUGUAUAUAGCAGGAAGACGUUUUAAAGGGUUCGGAAAUUUCCCAAUUCAUAUUUAACACAUUAAAGGCGGGAGUCGUAGUACUACGAUUUAUCUCGACUGUAGCUUAAAGGCGGGAGUCGUAUUAGUACGGUUUGCAACCACAUUGCGCAAUCCAUGCGCCACUUUACAUUUGUAUUUAGUAUUUUUUGUGGUUUGAAGCUGUUCGGUUGUUCAAAUUCUACUUACAGUAAAUUUUGAAAUCCUUCAAUAUGGUUUCACGCGAAAAUAAAGAUAUAUAUGCAGACGAUUCUUCUCAUAAAUAUGUACUUUCAAACAUUUUUUGUAAUUAGUGUUUAGUUCUUUUUUAAUAUGUCUUGUAGUUUUAAGAGUUUAAAUAAAUUUGUUUAAGUCUAAAUUUUUUUAUGAUUACACAUAAUAUUGCCCGGUCUAGGACGAAAAACGAGGCGGGGCGGUCGCCGCGUUACCUAGCAUGCUUUCGUCAAGAUCCCCCGCCUUUAAUGUGUUAAGAAAAGGCAGUCGCUCUCGCGGUUAACUUCCAGAUUGAUUUGUUGUACCC